GGGUCUCGAGCUGAUCGGGCUCCGGCCCGAUCCUCCCACCCUUUGUGUACCUACCUCUGUUGCUUUGGCGGGCCGCGGUCCUCCGCGGCCGCCCCCCUCCCCGGGGGGUGGCCAGCGCCCGCCAGAGGACCAUCAAACUCCAGUCAGUAAACGAUGCAGUCUGAAAAACAUUUAAUAAACUA
rnacentral:rRNA from 1 species